rnacentral:rRNA from 1 species
AACGGCCGCGGUAUUUUGACCGUGCAAAGGUAGCGCAAUCACUUGUCUUUUAAAUGAAGACCUGUAUGAAUGGCAUAACGAGGGCUUAACUGUCUCCUUUUUCCUAUCAAUGAAAUUGAUCCCCCCGUGCAGAAGCGGGGAUUUAAACAUAAGACGAGAAGACCCUAUGGAGCUUAAAACGCAAGGACAGAACAUGUUACUUUAUGUAAUUAAAAAAUAAAAUCAAUUGAGAACUGUCCAAGUGUUUUUGGUUGGGGCGACCGCGGAGAAAAACAAAACCUCCAUGAGGAAUAAAGACAUUCCUUUUAAUUUAAGGAUGACAAUCCUAAAAAACAGAAUUUCUGACCAUCUAGAUCCGGUUUAGACCGAUCAACGAACCGAGUUACCCUAGGGAUAACAGCGCAAUCCUCUUUUAGAGCCCAUAUCGACAAGAAGGUUUACGACCUCCAUGUUGGAUCAGGACAUCCUAAU